UACUCUCACACUCUCUAAUGCGGUUGUGCAUUAGGAAGUGGUGGACUUGGGUGUUGCUGCUUCACGGUGGCUCACCUCAAAUGGAUUAGUGCAACUCCUGGUUGGACAUAGUACGGCGUGAUAAGUGUCUUCGCCGGCACCUCGUAAUAGAGGGUGGCCGAUCGGGAGCUCUGUGCUUUCAAACCGUCUUCGGACAACAACUGACA
rnacentral:misc_RNA from 1 species